AUGGAUGUAAUAAAGCUUUCCAGGCAUGGAUGCACUCUAGAAUUUCAUCCCCACGAUUCAGCUUACUACUCAGUAAACAAAGCAGAUGGUUUUUCCAUUGCUAUCAGCACCGAGGUGACAUGUACAUUGCCACAGUCAGCCCACCAAUUUACAUGGGAAAGAAGAAAAAGACUCCACAGCACUCCCAAACUACUUGAAGCAGAUGAAUUAGCACGUUCCACAUCAAUUCUCCAAGACUGAAAAUGGAAUUAUGACCUUCCAGGUGUUUCUGAAGUGUAAGUUCACUACCAUUAUCCCAUUUCUGAGAUCGUCCUACAGUACCUGGUGUUUUCUGUUUAUUAAACACGUGCAAGAUUGCCUUUUCCUAGUUCAUAUUUUUGGUGCCUUCUGCUUACUUUAAACUAGAAAGCAUUUUGUCUACUCUUAAUUUUCCCAUUAACUUGUAGUUCGGUUCUAUUGAAUUGAACAUUGUCUCAACUAAGUCUUAUUAAUAGAAAACAAAACAAAACAAAACAAAACACAAAAAACACAGCACAUUAAAAGCUUUAAGCUUUAUAUUUAGAAUUGUUAAUAACAUUGUCUCUCUCCUUUAUUGUCUCUCUCCAUGCUUAAUGGCUGAUGGUCCAGUCUCUUGCUUACUUGUUAGUUAAUAUGUUUCGAGCUCACCCACAUCUCUUCGCUACCAGUUAUGUACAACCUGACCACUUUAUUGUUUGCAGCCAGCUCUCUGCUUUCCCCUAAGCCUAUCAUAACCCAAAUCUUAACAAAACAAAAAAUACCUGCAGGCAAUCUCCUCGACCCUGAGAUACCUCCAAAUACUCAGCAAUAUUUAGCCAGUGGAUUAGCUCUGACUUUAAAUUGUGUGUUACAAUACCUGCCUAUUACCUUGUAGUUCUGUCUAUCAGAUGUAGUCUCUCAUCUGUGAUAGGCACACACUCUUAUUUCCUAUUCUUACCAUAAUGCUGUUAUGAUAUAAUCCUUGACUGGUACUUCUAAACCCAAGCAUUUGGGUUUAGAUGCUUCUAAACCCAAGCACUGAGGAUCACUCUGGGUCCCUUCCAACUCAGGAUAUUUUACGAUCAUAUGAUUCAUUCUAUAAAAUAAAAUAUAGUCAUCUGUCA
rnacentral:lncRNA from 1 species